rnacentral:rRNA from 1 species
ACCUUUUAAAAUAUAUUCUUUUUCAAGCCCGACCUUGUCUGAUCUCAGAAGCUAAGCAGGGUUGAGCCUGGUUUGUACUUGGGUGGGAGACCACCUAGGAAGACCAGGUGCUGUAGGUG